rnacentral:rRNA from 1 species
GGGUUAGUAGGUUGGCCAUGCCUCUGGUAUGUACCGGUCUCACUGAUUCCUCCUUCCUGAUGAGCCGUAAUGCCAUUAAUUUGGUGUCUUGGGGAAUCAGGACUGUUACUUUGAAAAAAUUAGAGUGUUUAAAGCAGGCUCACGCUUGAAUACAUUAGCAUGGAAUAAUGAAAUAGGACGUUUGAUUCUAUUUUGUUGGUUUCUAGGAUUGACGUA